UAGUGGCAGACGGGUGAGUAACGCGUGGGAAGCUACCUUGUGGUAGGGGACAACAGUUGGAAACGACUGCUAAUACCCUAUGAGCCCUAUGGGGGAAAGAUUUAUCGCCAUGAGAUGUGCCCGCGUUAGAUUAGCUAGUUGGUAAGGUAAUGGCUUACCAAGGCGACGAUCUAUAGCUGGUCUGAGAGGAUGAUCAGCCACACUGGGACUGAGACACGGCCCAGACUCCUACGGGAGGCAGCAGUGGGGAAUAUUGGACAAUGGGGGCAACCCUGAUCCAGCCAUGCCGCGUGUGUGAUGACGGCCUUAGGGUUGUAAAGCACUUUCAGCAGUGAAGAUGAUGACAUUAACUGCAGAAGAAGCCCCGGCUAACUUCGUGCCAGCAGCCGCGGUAAUACGAAGGGGGCUAGCGUUGUUCGGAAUCACUGGGCGUAAAGAGUACGUAGGCGGACUGAUAAGUUAGGGGUGAAAUCCCAAGGCUCAACCUUGGAACUGCCUUUGAUACUGUCAGUCUUGAGAUCGAGAGAGGUGAGUGGAACUCCGAGUGUAGAGGUGAAAUUCGUAGAUAUUCGGAAGAACACCAGUGGCGAAGGCGGCUCACUGGCUCGAUACUGACGCUGAGGUACGAAAGCGUGGGGAGC
rnacentral:rRNA from 1 species